ACUGCCUAGAGACCCUAUUGCCUGAAAAUGCUGCACGCGCCCUCACGUACCAGAGAGACUCUCUAUGCCUGGUUGCCAUGUGUUGCCAUCAGUGACACGCACUGACCACCGGGACUACCUUCACCUACACGUAACACCAAUGGUCUCCAUUUCUGCCAAGCUCUUUCUGGAUUGGUCGAAAAUCACGAAAAUAGAGGCUGAUUUUAAGCAAUUUUUUGGACAAUUUUUCAAUUUGGUUUUUACUUCAUUUCUGUGGAUUUUUUGGACGUUUUAUAGUAAGUUUUUGUGGCACUGACAGAGGAGAGUAGUGCAAUAUUACAAAAUAAACUACCUCCCAAACUCAAGGAUCCCACCCAUUUCAAUUGGAGAAAUUGAUUCUUUCAAUACUUUAUGUGAUACAGGCACAAGUAUUAAUUUAAUGCCUUUAUAUGUCUUCAAGAAAUUGGGAUUAUGGAAAGCAAAAGAAACAACAAUGUUAUUGCAGCUGGCUGAUAAAAACAUUAAAUAUCGAAGAGGUAACAUUGAGGCUAUACUCAUCAAGGCUGGCAAAUUUAUAUUUCCAGUAAACUUUAUUGUUCUAAUAAUCUUGGGACGUCCAUUCUUAACAACAGGUCGACUUUGAUUGAUAUGGAGAAAUGUGAACUAAUAUUGAGAGUUUAUAAGGAACAAUAAGUUUUUAAAAUACACAGUGCAUCCAAACAACCAUCAAAUCUCGACGAACGUAAGUGUAUUCAUGAAGAUGAACUAUCCAUUCAACAAAACUGUCAAAUUAGAAAACCAAAAUUUUAAUAACGGAGAAUUCAUAGUUUAGAGAGAUAAAAGGGGAUGCAAGGCUAGAAAUUGCAAGGAGUACAAGGCAAAACAUUUCAAUU
rnacentral:lncRNA from 1 species